ACGGGUGAGUAACACGUGGGUAACCUGCCCUGUACUCUGGGAUAAGCCUGGGAAACUAGGUCUAAUACCGGAUAUGACUCCACUAGGCAUCUUGUGGGGUGGAAAGUUCCGGCGGUACAGGAUGGACCCGCGGCCUAUCAGCUUGUUGGUGGGGUAAUGGCCUACCAAGGCGACGACGGGUAGCCGGCCUGAGAGGGUGACCGGCCACACUGGGACUGAGACACGGCCCAGACUCCUACGGGAGGCGGCAGUGGGGAAUAUUGCACAAUGGGCGAAAGCCUGAUGCAGCGACGCCGCGUGAGGGAUGACGGCCUUCGGGUUGUAAACCUCUUUCAGCAGGGACGAAGCGCGAGUGACGGUACCUGCAGAAGAAGCACCGGCUAACUACGUGCCAGCAGCCGCGGUAAUACGUAGGGUGCGAGCGUUGUCCGGAAUUAUUGGGCGUAAAGAGCUCGUAGGCGGUUUGUUGCGUCGGCUGUGAAAACUUCACGCUUAACGUGGAGCCUGCAGUCGAUACGGGCAGACUUGAGUUCGGCAGGGGAGACUGGAAUUCCUGGUGUAGCGGUGAAAUGCGCAGA
rnacentral:rRNA from 1 species